rnacentral:rRNA from 1 species
UACGAAGGGGGGCUAGCGUUGCUCGGAAUCACUGGGCGUAAAGGGUGCGUAGGCGGGUCUUUUUUUUUUUUAAGUCAGGGGUGAAAUCCUGGAGCUCAACUCCAGAACUGCCUUGGAUACGGGAUCGCUUGAGGAUUGGAGAGGCAAGGGGAAUUCCACGUGUAGCGGUGAAAUGCGUAGAGAUGUGGAGGAACACCUGUGGCGAAGGCGCCUUGCUGGCCAAUUACUGAGCUGAGGCGCGAAAGCGUGGGGAGCAAACAGG